CCUGUGGAGUGUUAUAUCAAACUGUAGUAGUCUGUUGCUAAAGUAACGACAAGGCAGGACACGAUUGAAGCAGGAA
rnacentral:ncRNA from 1 species